rnacentral:rRNA from 1 species
GAUGAACGCUAGCGGCAGGCUUAACACAUGCAAGUCGAGGGGCAGCGCGGGAUAGCAAUAUCCUGGCGGCGACCGGCGGAAGGGUGCGUAACGCGUGAGCGACAUGCCCGUUGCCCGGGGACAACCGGGGGAAACGCCGACCAAUCCCCGAUGGGAUAUUGUGCCACAACGCACGAUAUUGCAAGUUACCGCGGCGACAGAUGGGCACGCGUCCGCUUAGGUUGUUGGCGGGGUAACAGCCCACCAAGGGUGGGGUCGGUAGGGGUUCUGAGAGAAAGGCCCCCCACAGUGGGACUGAGACACGGCACAUACUCCUACGGGAGGCAGCAGGGAGGAAUAUUGGUCAAUGGGCGGAAGCCUGAACAAGCCAGGCCGCGUGCGGGAAGGAGGCCCUAUGGGCUGUGAACCGGUUUUGCCUGGGGGCAAUAAGGGCGUAGCGCACGUCCGAUGAGAGUACCAGGCGAAUAAGCAUCGGCUAACUCCGUG